rnacentral:rRNA from 1 species
CCUACGGGAGGCAGCAGUGGGGAAUAUUGCACAAUGGGGGGAACCCUGAUGCAGCGACGCCGCGUGGGUGAAGGAGUAUUUCGGUAUGUAAAGCCCUAUCAGCAGGGAAGAACAAUGACGGUACCUGACUAAGAAGCACCGGCUAAAUACGUGCCAGCAGCCGCGGUAAUACGUAUGGUGCAAGCGUUAUCCGGAUUUACUGGGUGUAAAGGGAGCGCAGGCGGCGCGUUAAGCCUGGUGUGAAAGUCCGCGGCCCAACCGCGGGACUGCAUUGGGAACUGGCGCGCUGGAGUGCCGGAGGGGUAGGCGGAAGUCCUAGUGUAGCGGUGAAAUGCGUAGAUAGUAGGAGGAACACCAGUGGCGAAGGCGGCCUACUGGACGGUGACUGACGCUGAGGCUCGAAAGCGUGGGGAGCAAACAGGAUUAGAUACCCGAGUAGUC